GUGCACUCACUUGAAGGUCACAAACAGGCUGGAGGGGGGCUGUAUUGGCGUUUUAAGGGCAGCGACUGCCAUAUAACAUAAAACGAGGCUGCCUGCGGGAUAACGCCAGACCAGGAGAGUACGGGGUGCUGUGGCCUGCUGCCCACCAGGUAUUAGCCUGGCGUGCCGGAUGGCCAGUCUGGGCCCAAUCACAAAAGUAUUACCUUUCAGAUAGUGUUGCAAUAAAACAAAAACUAUGUUUAGUUCCCGGGAUGGCUGGCAAAAGUGGUCAGGGGGGCAAUUUUGUGCCUAUACAUUAAACUUGCCAAUUUUGCACCAGGGGACUUGCAUAAAAAGCACUAACAACCUGACUGGGUCCUUUCUGUGUUCCUAUUAUGGGGCUUGCAUCUGCAUGUAAAGGUGUUGUGGACAGUUUACAAUGGGUGCAUUGUCUGCCAGUGUGUUCUGCUACACACAAACACACUAUAUAUUGUGUGUGAAAUAUAUAUUAUAUACACACAUACAUUUAUAUA